UACAUAGGUCCCAAGCGUUAUUCGGAUUUAUUGGGCGUAAAGGGUGCGUAGGCGGCGCGGUAAGUCGGGUGUGAAAUCUCGGAGCUUAACUCCGAAACUGCAUUCGAUACUGCCGUGCUUGAGGACUGGAGAGGAGACUGGAAUUUACGGUGUAGCGGUGAAAUGCGUAGAUAUCGUAAGGAAGACCAGUGGCGAAGGCGGGUCUCUGGGACGGUACUGACGCUGAGACGCGAAAGCGUGGGGAGCGAACAGG
rnacentral:rRNA from 1 species